rnacentral:rRNA from 1 species
UACAGAGGGGGCAAGCGUUGUUCGGAAUUACUAGGCGUAAAGGGCAGGUAGGUGGUUUGGUUAGUCUGUUGUGAAAGCUCCCGGCUUAACUGGGAGAGGUCAACGGAUACUGCCAAACUUGAGUAUAGGAGAGGUUACUGGAAUUCCCGGUGUAGCGGUGAAAUGCGCAGGGAUCGGGAGGAACACCAAUGGCGAAAGCAGGUAACUGGACUAUUACUGACACUCAGCUGCGAAAGCUAGGGGAGCAAACAGG